GGAUGAUCCUACAGAAAUUACGGAAAAUACUGUGUAAAAGGCUUUUAUGCCAGGUCUUCAUCAUUCGUUUAGUCGUUUAUUAUUCUAUACCCUUAACAUAAUACCCAAAACUCCAAUGUAAAAUUAUUCAAAAGGAACGAUGGUGGAUAACGACAACCUCUCAAUGAGACCAAGGAACUGACUGUAGACUUCUGGAGAAGGAAACCAGAGGUCCAUGAGCCAGUAAUGAUCAGAGGUGGAGAGGGUCAGUAGCUUUAAAUUCCUGGGUGUCACCAUCUCAGAGGACCUGUCCUGGACCCAUCAUAUAAUUGCAAAGAAAACACAACAGCACCUCUACUUCCUCAGGAAUCAAAGGAGAUUCAGCAUGUCAUCAAAAAUGUUAACAAACUUCUAUAGAUAUGUGGUGAAAAGUGUGCUGACUGGCUGCACUACGGCCUGGCAUGGGAACACCAAAGCCUUUGAGCAGAAAAUCCUGCGAAAGAUAGUGUUUUCAGCGCGGUACAUCACAGGCAAAACCAUCUCAACCACGGAUCCUAUCAAUAUGAAAAGCUGUUGUAGAAAAGCAGCAACCAUCAAAGAUCCCCACCAAUCAGGCCAUGCUCCUUUCGCACUGCUGCCAUCAGGUAGAAGGUACAGAUGCCUCAAGACUCGCACCACCGCUCAGGAGCAGUUACUACCCCUCAACCAUCAGGCUCUUGAAAAAAAGGGGAUAACAACACUCAUUUAAAGACACUUGCAUUGUUAUUUCAUGCUCAUUAUUUAUUGUUAUUUAUUUAUCUGCAUUUGCAGUUUAUUUAUAAUUCCUGAUGUUUACAGUUUACAGAUCCUGUUUCUGGCUAUUAUUCCUUAGAUUUACUAAGUAUGCCCAUAGAAAAAAGAAUCUCAGGGUUGUACGUGGUGAAAACCACAUGGUAAGCUUAACUGCACUUACAAGGAGUCUUGCAGCAAAGAAAAAACAAACAAACCAGGCCCUUCAGCCCAAUUCCUUUAUGCAGACUGUUGCCCAGUGAGUUAGUCCCAACUGCCUACAUUUGGCCCAGAGCCAUCUACCCCUUUCAGGUCUAUGUAGUUAUUUAGAUGGCUUUUUAUUGCUCCUAAUGUGCCUACCUUAACCGCUAUUUCUGGUGGAUCAUUCCAAAUCCACAUCACCCUUUGUGUAACAAAGCUGCUCUAAUGGCUCUUUUAAGUCUCUUAAAAGUCGCCUUGGGUAACUUUUUGUUUUUAGCAACCCCUCCCUGGGAAAAAGACAAUAUACUUGCUCUUCACUUAUAACAUUAUGAGGUCACUCCUCAAUCUCCUACAUUACAGUCCUAGUCUACGCAACCUCUCCUUGUAACUCAGCACCCCACAAGUCGAGGAAACAACCUAGUUAAGUCUUUCCUGUAUACUUUCUAGUUUAAUGACAUCUUUUAUAUAAAAGGGUGAGCAAAUUGGCACACGAUACUCCAAAAGUGGCCUUAUCAACAUCUUGUGUAACUGCAGCAUAACCUCCAAACUCCCAUACUCAAUGUCCUGACUAAAGACAACUGUGCCAAACACCUUCAAUACCCUAUCUACCUGUGAUGCUGCUUUAAGUGAACUCUGCACUUGGACUCUUGGGUCCCUUUUUACCAUAACACUGAAAGAUGGCAGAUAGAAUUUAAUACAGAGAAGUGUAAGGUUUUGCACUUUGAGAGGACCAACCAGGGUAGGUCUUACACAGUGAGUGGUAGGGCACCAAGAAAUGUGGUAGAACAAAGGGAUCUGGGAAUACAGGUUCACAAUUCAUUGAAAGUGGCAUCACAGGUAGAUAGGGUAAUAGAGGAAGCUUUUGGCACAUUGAACUUCAUAGACCAAAGUAUUGAGUACAGGAGGCAGGAUAUUAUGUUUAAGUUGUAUAAGACAUUGGUGAGGUCUAAUUUGGAGUAUUGUAUGGAGUUUUGGUCACCUUCCUACAGGAAAGAUGUAAAUAAGAUUGAAAGAGUACAGAGUAAAUUUACAAGAAUGGUGCCUGGAUUGAAGUGCCUGAGUUACAAGGAAAGUGAAAAGAUUAGGACUUUAUUUCACAGGAUGUAGAAGAUGAAGGGGAGAUUUGAUAGAGAUAUACAAAAUUAUGAGAGGUGUAGAUAGGGUAAAUGCAAGUAGGCUUUUUCCACUAAGGUUGGGUGAGACUACAACUAGAGGUCAUGGGUUAAUGGUGAAAGGUGAAAUGUGCAAUGGGAACAGGAGGGGAAUCUUCUUCAUUCGAGUUACUGGGAGUGUGGAACAAGCUGCCAGUGCAAGUGGUAGAUGUGACUUCCAUUUCAAAGUUUAAGAGAAGUUUGGAUAGAUACAUGGAUAGGAGGGACAUGGAGGGCUAUUGUCCAGGUGCAGGUUAAUGAGACAAGGCCGUUUAAAUGGUUAGGCAUGGACUAAAUGAGCCAAAAGCCCUGUUUCUGUGCUGUAGUUUUCCAUGACUGUCCUACUCGAGUUUGAAAGCCUCAACUCAUAUACCUAGUUGAUCAAAUUUAUUAUCUAAGUAUGCAUAUACUACAUCGAGUUUAAUUUUUUUCAAGCAUUUAUAGGAAAAUAAAAAUACAAUAGAAUUCAUGAAAAAUAACAAAAAGACUGACAAUGUGCAAAAGAUGGCAAAUCAUGUAAAUAAUAAAUAAUGCUGAGUUUUA